rnacentral:rRNA from 1 species
UUAACAAAAACGUAGCCAACUGCUAGACGGGAACGUUGUGUAUAGUUGGUGACUUCUGCCCAGUGCUAGUAUCUGAAAGCGGUUUUCAAGCUGCCUAAGGACUGGUAAACGGCGGGGGUAACUAUGACCCUCUUAAGGUAGCGAAAUACCUUGGCCAUUAAAUGUGGUCGUGCAUGAACGGAGUAACGAGGUUGACACUGUCCCUAGGAUGAACCUCAUGAACUUACUAUUCUGGGGAAUGGGCCAGAGACUUCCAGUGGGACGCUGAGACCCCGUAGAGCUUUACUGUAGCUUGUAGCUGUUAUAUUGCUGUGUUUGCACAGUGUAUAGGGGAGGCUUCGAAGCAUUGUUUCCGGACAAUGUGGAGCCACCGAUGUAACACCCUACCUUCAUAUCGAUAUGACUUACCUGAAAGGGAACACCUAUAAGCGGACAGUUUGAGUGGGGCGCUCCCCUCCUGAAAAUGUAUCAGGAGGAACCUAAGGUCAGCUCAGCCUGGUUGGAAACCAGGUGUAGAGUUUAAGAG